rnacentral:rRNA from 1 species
CUAUAAUGCAGUCGAGCGAACAGAUAAGGAGCUUGCUCCUUUGACGUUAGCGGCGGACGGGUGAGUAACACGUGGGUAACCUACCUAUAAGACUGGAAUAACUCCGGGAAACCGGGGCUAAUGCCGGAUAACAUUUAGAACCGCAUGGUUCUAAAGUGAAAGAUGGUUUUGCUAUCACUUAUAGAUGGACCCGCGCCGUAUUAGCUAGUUGGUAAGGUAACGGCUUACCAAGGCAACGAUACGUAGCCGACCUGAGAGGGUGAUCGGCCACACUGGAACUGAGACACGGUCCAGACUCCUACGGGAGGCAGCAGUAGGGAAUCUUCCGCAAUGGGCGAAAGCCUGACGGAGCAACGCCGCGUGAGUGAUGAAGGGUUUCGGCUCGUAAAACUCUGUUAUUAGGGAAGAACAAACGUGUAAGUAACUGUGCACGUCUUGACGGUACCUAAUCAGAAAGCCACGGCUAACUACGUGCCAGCAGCCGCGGUAAUACGUAGGUGGCAAGCGUUAUCCGGAAUUAUUGGGCGUAAAGCGCGCGUAGGCGGUUUCUUAAGUCUGAUGUGAAAGCCCACGGCUCAACCGUGGAGGGUCAUUGGAAACUGGGAGACUUGAGUGCAGAAGAGGAAAGUGGAAUUCCAUGUGUAGCGGUGAAAUGCGCAGAGAUAUGGAGGAACACCAGUGGCGAAGGCGACUUUCUGGUCUGUAACUGACGCUGAUGUGCGAAAGCGUGGGGAUCAAACAGGAUUAGAUACCCUGGUAGUCCACGCCGUAAACGAUGAGUGCUAAGUG